AUUGAACGCUGGCGGCAUGCCUUACACAUGCAAGUCGAACGGUAACAGGUCUUCGGAUGCUGACGAGUGGCGAACGGGUGAGUAAUACAUCGGAACGUGCCCGAGAGUGGGGGAUAACGCAGCGAAAGCUGUGCUAAUACCGCAUACGAUCUACGGAUGAAAGCAGGGGAUUCGCAAGGACCUUGCGCUCAUGGAGCGGCCGAUGGCAGAUUAGGUAGUUGGUGGGAUAAAAGCUUACCAAGCCGACGAUCUGUAGCUGGUCUGAGAGGACGACCAGCCACACUGGGACUGAGACACGGCCCAGACUCCUACGGGAGGCAGCAGUGGGGAAUUUUGGACAAUGGGGGAAACCCUGAUCCAGCCAUGCCGCGUGCAGGAUGAAGGCCUCGGUUGUAAACUGCUUUGUACGGUAACGAAAGGUACGUUUCUAAUAAAGAAGGACCCAUGACGGUACCGUAAGAAUAAGACACCGGCUAACUACGUGCCAGCAGCCGC
rnacentral:rRNA from 1 species